rnacentral:lncRNA from 1 species
AUGGCCAUACGGGUUUCUGCAAAAGCACAGUGGUGCUCUGUCGGACUUCAUUUAAAGAUGUUGCAUUUAAAAGGUAGAGGAACAGGGUCUGUCGCUUCACUCUCGUGCCUGCACCAGCCGGGGCCGGGAGCUCCCUCCGGGUCUCCCACGCGGGUGCAGGGGCCCAGGGACAUGGGCCAUCCUCCACUGCCUUCCCAGGCCACAGCAGGGAGCAGCUGGGACUCACACUGGCGCGAAAUGGGAUGCGGGUGUUGCACAGUGCAGACGCCGGACUGGAGACUGAUGCUGACUGUCCCUUCGCUCUGUCGCAGGUGGCCUGGGGGAUCGUGCCUGCCUCAGCUGUACCAGCACCGUGGGGCUCCUGAGCCGCGUGAAUGUUCCGUUUGGCUGCUGUGCACUGGCCACUCCUGCACACCUUUCCUUCCGAGGUGACCACCUCAGCUACUGGACUCGGAGGCUCAAGCCACCA